ACUAAGGUUUGAAAAAGAAAAAAGUGUUAAUAAAGCAAUUUUAAAAUUUAAUCUGAGAGUUUAUUUUCUCCUUUGCUGCCUUUUCUCUCCUGGGGAUAGAUCUGUGUUUUUUUUUCUUGCCUUGCAAAGGAUUUAGUACUAAACCUUCUAUUUUUCUGGAGACAGCAAGAGACAGUCAGAAGUGAGGAGAAGUGUUUAACAAUUCAGAGGUCGAAGAACUGAUGGCUGCUGACCUCCUUCUGUUCUGAGCCAGUGGCUUAGGAGAGAAUACAAACAGAGGAGGGACCUCCGUGCUCCGAUCCCAGCACUGCUUCGGGGUUCUGCUUCAUUUGGAUAAAACUCAUUUUCACUCUCUGUUCGGCUUCUAACACUUCCUGAGCUCGUGGAAAGAAAGGGAAAUGAAAACCCCAAGCAAUGUGAGAAAGGAGCUCUGCGCACAUGUUGGGGCUGACCCCGGAGGGAAGUUCUGCAAAUCUUAUCAAAACCCCGUGAAGGUGAGACUGGGCCUGAUGGCCAGGCUCGGGUAAGGUGCUGAUAAAGAGCUGAGCGCUUGGGUCAGCAUCUCAGCCUUUAGAGGCUGGGCCUAAAACCUGAGCCCGCUGCAAUGCCACCACUGCAAGUUUCUCCAGGUUUGGAUUUAAGAUGCAAAAUGCUGACCUCACUGAAGAUCAGGUGCAGUUAAGCAUUCAGGUCACGACAGUAAACAUCGGUAAGACAAAUUCCACUAACGAAGCCAAUGCAAUUUGUCCGUGUAGGGGACAGAAACCUCCCAUCCGAGCCAUUUUUUUUCCUCUGGCUCCUUCAACAUGAGACUGCGACAGCCCCUGCGCUGCAGUGAUGCUGAGGCAGUUGUGGACCAGCUUUUUGGUGGUUGCAGCUCCCUUUAACUCCAACUUCUGUGUUUUCAGAACUGCUGUCAGACUGAAGCAUGGUCCUAACGGGGAGCAACCUCAUCUUACGGCUUUAGGGCACCCGCUCCUGCUGCCCUACACCUGGUCUGAAAAUCAGCCUGAGAAAAAUUGCCAGUGGUUGUACGCCAUAACUCAGAAGUGACUAGAUCCUGUAUGCCUCCACUUCUCUUCAAACGUUUAAAGUGAAGGGUUAAUUAAUUAAAUUAAAUGAAGCUCCCACUGACAACAGCAAUGGCUGUGAGUUCUCUGCAUCUUUGGAAGUAAAACUUGGGGUGAAAGUAAAUGAAAAGUUACUGUAACGCUUCGUGCGGGUUUGUUUGAUUGUUUUUCUCCUCCUUGACAUGUUUACUCAGUUUUGGGAUGACGUUGACACAGAAGAGAGAACAGGGUGACACCACGGGAGCAGCUGCUUUGGCAGCCCUCCUCCAGCUGCUCCGUGCUGCGCAGCCUGCAGCGGGUGCAACAUCUGGAGGCUCCGUGGGAGGGUUACGAAACACGAAACAGGCCUGGGACCAGCUCUGUUGUUGUGGGGUGUCCGGGUUGUUAUGAAAACAGAACACACUUGGCCUUCAUAGGAGAAAGCAGAAGCCAGAGGAGAGACACGGGGUUAUGCAAAGUUAAACCAAGUGGUUGCGUGCUGACCUUGACCUCAAGGAGACCGGCUCCAGUUGGCAAUCCUUAAUGUGGUACGGGAAGUCUGCAGAAACCUUCUCAAGGACUAGGGCGACUUUGAGGUUACAAAAGGAUUAAGUUUUAUGUGAACACCUAGCCACAGCCACUCCACUUCCCCAGUGGCUGGGAAUUCAAGCUGCAGCGGCGCUGCCAAGCAGGCUUGAUGGGGCAGCAGAGGAUAAGAGGCUGAGAUGGCAUGUGAUGCAGCGCCGAUGCCAAAUUUCCACCCUGCCUGUAAUAAAAGUCUGCAUUUAUAGAGCACCUUUGAUGAAAGGCUUCCUGAGUCAUCCAGAAAUAUUAAUUAAUUGCCAUCACCCCUGCAGCAGGCUCUCCUCAGACACUGUGCUGCUGCAUACUCACGAGGAAUUGGUGCUCGGGGGGCCAGGUGAGCGGCGUCGGUCCCGUGGUGCAGGAGAGAUGUGAACGGUGUGAGGGGAACCCAAAACCCUGCGGAGGGACAGGACCACGGCACCCCUGGGUGCCCCACGGACAGCCUGGGUCAGGUGCACCACAAAAUGGUGCUUGCUGAAGGAGUUCGGCUCACGGACGGCACCCUCCUCGCCUCUCCUCUGACAGAUUUCUCUUCCAAACAACUUCAUUUCUUCGCGGAUUUGUUUAUUCUGAAAGGUCAGGGCACUACAUUGUACCCUGCAUUAUCUCCUCCCUGCUUCCCCGCGGCCCCAGCCCCGCAGUAAUCACGCCUUCAGCACCUUUCUGCCAGGCUUUGACACUCCCCAAUCCAGCUGAGACUUCUCAGGACUUUAAUUAAUGAGAUAACAAAAGGGAAAACACCCAAAGAGUGAACCCCCGAGUUGAAGACUUUAUCUGCUCUUUGCAGCUGUAUCUUUUUUCUUUUUUUUCUUUUUUUUUUUCUUUUUUUUUUUUUUUUUCUUUUUGAGCUGCAUUCCAGGUCCGUCAAUACCGUUUCCCAUUAAAUUAAAUAGCUUAUUGACUGGUGUGAGACGUAGCCACGAGGCCGAUAGGAUCCGCGCGCGGUGCUUUCCCAGUGCAAACAAUCACAGGUCACUGCACAGUAAAUCAGUCGGUAAUGGAGUUUGAACUCUGAGAAUCAGUUCUGUGUACCCUUUUUAUUUGUUUUUAAUUUGUAUCAAUGGUAAUUCUGUCGGUUUCAAUUUAUGUGACGGCAGCAGGUUGUGGAGCAGCGGAAACACCAUUUUUCUUCUUGUUAACCAUUGAGCUCGCAGCACCGUGGCAGCCAAGCGUCUCCGAGCUCCCAAGUGUUAAGGUUUCUUGGUACCAGCAGAACCCUGUGUUAUGUUAUUUUCCUCUCUCUUUCUUUUCCAUCAGAGCCGUCUGAAGAUGCCCCUUCCUGCUUCCAGCUCUCAACCAUUUAGGACCUUCCACGCGGAUUUGCGAGCUGAGCAGUCAUUCGUGACUCCCUGCAUUUACCUCAUCCCUUUUUGAACCCGUUUAACACAGCCAGCAGCUGGGACACCUGGUGGCAUCGAGCACUGCAAUUUAAUUAUGAAUUAUAUUAAAAAAUGACUUCCUUCUGUUGCUUAAAACUUGCUGACAGCUAAUUUUGGCAGGUGUCUGCUAAUAUUUACUUUGUGUAAAUUAAUGAAUAAUCAUUCCUGACACUUUUUUUUUUACCCUUAUAAAUCCCCUCUGCUCCAAGGUACGGGUCCUGGUCCAGCACCCCGCUCCGAAGCAUCCUGCCCAGGACAUAAAACCAGCCUGCUGCUGGCCUUUGUGCCUUGUCUGCUUCUGUGCUGUCCUUUUUCUGCUGGAAGACACGAGCUGUCACCACGAGCAUGCCAAGUAUUUAUAAAGGUGCAUAAGGUUUCUUCUGUUUGUUUCAUUUUCCAUUUCCUCCUCAAUAAUUCAUUUAGUCCUGCUCACCUUUUGGCCUUUGCUGGGGCUUCAGUUUAGCAUUUCAGAGAGCGAUCCACAAACACUUCACUCGCAAUUUUCUGAGCACAAACACUUGGAGCAGUGUCCAUGGUGCUCACUGCCUGUGCACGGUUCGGGCUGUGUUCCCCGGGGUGUUACUUGGCACUUGCAAUCAGCGGCCACGACUGCCUGCUUUUGCCUCAGACCCUCAGGAUUCCCGGGUCCUCCAGGAGCCCCCCGUGGUACCUCCAGGCCCCAACCCUGCAGCUCAACCUCUCCUGCUGCUCCAGGGCACCUUCCUCUGCUUUCAUUGUUGUGCCUUGCCGUGCCUCAAGCCAGCCCCCAGCACCGAGCACUCACCCAUUCCCAUUUUGCUCCCUGCCACGUGCACUUCUCCGCUGUCUCUCCAGGGGCUGCAGCUCUGCAGCAAGGGUUCUGCACGGUGCAGCUCUGUUUGUACCGAUGUGGUAGUCACACUGCUUUGCUUCCUGCUUGGUCUCUAAAGUUUUUCAACAAAACGAAGCAAAUUGCUCACGUACCCAGCUUAUGAAGGGCUUUAGUGCUUCGUGGACUCACCGAAGUGACAAUAAGAGGUGACUGGCACCUCAGGUGGUUAAAGCAGCGCACUAGGACAACGUUAUCACUACAAACUACAUCAUAGACACCAGGGAAUGUCUCGUGAUGUUCCUACAAACACGGAGCCUGUCCGCAGUGCCUGGGCUGUGUGCUGAAGCUGCUGCCAGGACGAGAGGCACCGCUCUGCACGGGCACAACGUGCCUGGCUUUACAGAGGGGGCGUGCAGAACACGUCUGUUUGCAAAGUCACACACACACACGUUUCUCCUCCACAAUAUUUUGGGAAUCUACACAGACGUGUUAGGAAAACUGUCACUUGCAUAAACUUCUUUGCAGCCAGAGUGUGAUUUUUUUUUUCAGAGCUACUAAUCAAAGGCUAGAGUGGAAUCAGCUCGACAAAAAAAUAUAAAUAAAUAAAUUCAAAGAUCACGGACUUAUAAAAUGCACCAAGGAAUUACAGGAAUGAGACUUAAGAGAGGUGCAAUGAGGAA